rnacentral:rRNA from 1 species
UACGUAGGGUGCGAGCGUUGUCCGGAAUUAUUGGGCGUAAAGAGCUCGUAGGCGGCUUGUCGCGUCGGAUGUGAAAGCCCGGGGCUUAACUCCGGGUCUGCAUUCGAUACGGGCAGGCUAGAGUUCGGUAGGGGAGAUCGGAAUUCCUGGUGUAGCGGUGAAAUGCGUAGAUAUCAGGAGGAACACCGAUGGCGAAGGCAGGUCUCUGGGCUGACACUGACGCUAAUGCACGAAAGCGUGGGGAGCAAACAGG